GGGGCUGUGGCUCACUGGUAGAGCAUCUGCUUCACAUGCAGAAGGCCCCUGGUUCGAUCCCCGGCAUCUCCA